rnacentral:rRNA from 1 species
UAGCUAGUUGGUGGGGUAAGGGCCUACCAAGGCGACGAUCGGUAGCUGGUCUGAGAGGAUGACCAGCCACACUGGAACUGAGACACGGUCCAGACUCCUACGGGAGGCAGCAGUGGGGAAUAUUGGACAAUGGGGGCAACCCUGAUCCAGCAAUGCCGCGUGUGUGAAGAAGGCCUGAGGGUUGUAAAGCACUUUCAGUGGGGAGGAGGGUUGAUAGUUUAAGAGACGAUUAACUGGACGUUACCCACAGAAGAAGCACCGGCUAACUCCGUGCCAGCAGCCGCGGUAAUACGGAGGGUGCGAGCGUUAAUCGGAAUUACUGGGCGUAAAGAGUGCGUAGGUGGUUGUGUAAGUUAUAUGUGAAAUCCCUGGGCUUAACCUGGGCAGGUCAUAUAAUACUGUAUGACUCGAGUAUGGGAGAGGGUAGUGGAAUUUCCGGUGUAGCGGUGAAAUGCGUAGAGAUCGGAAGGAACACCAGUGGCGAAGGCGGCUACCUGGCCUAAUACUGACACUGAGGCACGAAAGCGUGGGGAGCAAACAGGAUUAGAUACCCUGGUAGUCCACGCCGUAAACGAUGUCAACUAGCUGUUGGGUAUAUGAAAAUACUUAGUGGCGC